GUGAGGAAUAUUGGACAAUGGGCGCAAGCCUGAUCCAGCCAUGCCGCGUGCAGGAAGACGCAUCUAUGGUGUGUAAACUGCUUUUGUACGGGAAGAAACACUCCCUCGUGAGGGAGCUUGACGGUACCGUAAGAAUAAGGAUCGGCUAACUCCGUGCCAGCAGCCGCGGUAAUACGGAGGAUCCAAGCGUUAUCCGGAAUCAUUGGGUUUACAGGGUCCGUAGGCGGUUUAAUAAGUCAGUGGUGAAAGCCCAUCGCUCAACGAUGGAACGGCCAUUGAUACUGUUAGACUUGAAUUACAAGGAAGUAACUAGAAUAUGUAGUGUAGCGGUGAAAUGCUUAGAUAUUACAUGGAAUACCAAUUGCGAAGGCAGGUUACUACUUGUGGAUUGACGCUGAUGGACGAAAGCGUGGGGAGCGAACAGGAUUAGAUACCCGAGUAGUCC
rnacentral:rRNA from 1 species